AGCAGCCGCCGCGGUAAUACAGAGGGUGCGAGCGUUAAUCGGAUUUACUGGGCGUAAAGCGUGCGUAGGCGGCUUUUUAAGUCGGAUGUGAAAUCCCUGAGCUUAACUUAGGAAUUGCAUUCGAUACUGGGAAGCUAGAGUAUGGGAGAGGAUGGUAGAAUUUCAGGUGUAGCGGUGAAAUGCGUAGAGAUCUGGAGGAAUACCGAUGGCGAAGGCAGCCAUCUGGCCUAAUACUGACGCUGAGGUACGAAAGCAUGGGGAGCAAACAGGAUUAGAUACCCCUGUAGUCCCUGUCUCUUAUAC
rnacentral:rRNA from 1 species